rnacentral:lncRNA from 1 species
AUGCUCCAGGGGGGCUGGGGAUGCUCAGGGGGGCUGGGGAUGCUCAGAUGGAGCUGGGGAUGCUCAGAUGGGGCUGGGGAUGCUCUGGGGGCUGGGGAUGCUGUGGGGGGCUGGGGAUGCUCAGAUGGAGCUGGGGAUGCUCCGGGGGUCUGGGGAUGCUCCAGGGGGCUGCAGUGUCUGUGGCCUUUGGGGAUGUGCCCCUGGCUGCCCUGGUUUGGGAUCCUGGGGCGCUCCCUCCACACGGGGCUCUCCAGCUGCUGCCUCCAUCACCCCCUCUUCCCUUCCCCACUCCGCUGGUUUUGGGGGGAAAUUCAUUUUGAAGGGGUUUUUGACGGUGUCCCUGUCCUGCCCCAUGGGGUGACAGCCCAGGCCCCAUUCCCUCCCUCUGGAAGCUCGGGGGACACCGGGACCUUUGUGUCCCUUGCCUGCGGUGGCACCCUGCAGCUCCUUGUCGCUGCUCCAGUGCUGGUGUGUCCCUGCCGCGGGCACAGCUCGGGGACCAGCCGGGCCCGCCGUGCCUCAGUUUCCCUCCAGUGUCCCCGGCUCCGGGAGGUGACUCCGGGGCACUCCGGGCCCGUUGUCCUUAAAAAGGCAGCGGCAGUGCGGGAGCCUCUGGGUGGCCUCUGCCGGGCCCGCGGGGCUGGGGCAGCACCGGGAUCGGGCUCAGCACCCACCGUGUCCCCCGGGGGCUCCGGGCUCGUCCCCCCAACCCAAAACCAGCCUCGGGUUUGGAACCGGGCUCACCCUGAGCGCGGGGUCGGGAUUUGGGGUCGGGAUUUGGGGCACGAGGGGAGCAAAAACCCAAAAACGGGAGAGGCUCUGGAGAGAAAAGCGCGGGGAGAGGCAGCGCAGGAGCGGCGGGACCCGGAGCCACCGGCACCACCGGAGCCACCGGAGCCACCGGCCGGGCUCUCCCCGGGGCUGCCGCCGCCGUUCCCGGCCCGUGGCUCACAGGGACCCGAGUGUCGCUCCUUUAUGGCAGCGGAGCAUCAAAGGAACGGGCUCGCAGCGGGGCCGCUGCCUCCCGAGCAUCCCUGCCAUACAAUAAUUAACCGUGCCGGGUCCCACCACCAGCGCAAGGUCAAUUUAAUGAAAUAA